AGAGCUGGAAAGAGAAGACGGGCCUGAGGGUGGCUGCCAGCUGACCUGGGUUCUACUCUACCUUUGCCGCCAGCAGCUGAAUAACCUAAGGUGGGUGAUACGAGGUGUCAGCUGGGAUGCUAGAAAUUAAAGCAGCUGCCCAUCUGCCUUACAGGCCUCAAGGAAGUUCACACCAGUGGAGGGAUAGUGCAACCCUCUGCACUGCACACAGACCUAGGGAACUGACUCAACUGACUUCAGGACCAUUUGACCUAUUCCCACUCUCAGCUGGGUCUCCCUACUUGCUCAGGACCCAACUCCUAAACUCAAGGUGGGGCAAUCAGGGAGUCAGGGACCUCUGCUAGUGCCUGGCAACUGGGACUUUGCAUGAACAAAAGGCAGCUUGCACCCCACUGAUUUCUGGGAAGAAUUCCACUCCUGAAAUUGGGGCGGUCAGGUUGGCAUCAUCUCCAACCCUAAAUGGCAGGGUUAUGCUUGCCUACAGUGUGUUGAGCAGGAUUCUCAGACUGAGUUGGCUUGGUGGGGAAGGCUGCUGUAAUUUCUAUCAUAGCUAUGUAAAGGGUCUAUAAAAUUACUGCGUUUUGUACUGGGAAUUAAGGUCAGGACCUUGUGCUUAGCAAGCAGGUGCUUAUGCUGUUGACCUAUAUCCCUGGCCCUGUAAAACUACUUUUUGAAGGGUUUUCGAAGAUACUGCUGGAUCUACAAUGGGAUUUUCUUCAGGGAAAGAGGUGAGAAGGCUGAGCAGAGAGCAGUCGGUGUUCUUUAGGUUUAAUGCUCCAGUCUUUUUAAAAACGGCCUUGUUUAUGUAACUAGAAUUAAUUCUAAAGCAUAUUAAAAGCCAGAGAAAAGUUCUGGGAUUAAUUUGCAAGGUAUAUGAGACACAUGGGGACCACUGCUGAUGGGAUGUUCUCCAUCUUAACGGAGAUGACUUCCAUCAUCCCCCACCCCAGAAUGGUCUGCCAUCAUGGAGACUGUACCCUUGACCCCCUCCUUUCCCUCAGUGUUUCCUGCCACCUCCUCACCUUUCCCAACCUUUCACUCAGGCCAAGCACUCUAGCAGUAUUUGCUUAGACUAGAUCUGGGGUCACCCAACACCUGCAGCUCUGAGCACAGCACGCUGACUUGUCUGAGCCUCUUUGGCCAUGCAUCCUUCCUAGCAGAAUUGAGCCACACUGGAUAUUGGGACUGAUCUGCUGCUUCUGUGUGUCCCCUUGCAGAAGUUCCCUUGAGAAUCCCUGCCACCCCAGGGCUCAGGGUUCCAUGUGCUCACUGCCCAUUCUCCAGGCAGAGAACCAGGCACCCUUCUCAAUUUUCCCUUUAUCCAUUGCAUUCCCUUAGGUCCAAACCUGUCCCCCCAGCUCCCAAACUGCUCUUAGAUUGUUUUCAACCCCAGCCAUAACCCUAGUCAGGGGUCCCCCCACUCUCCCCUGGACUGGACUCCCUGCCCACGAUGCCUAACUGCCCCUGAGAGCUCUGCAGUGACAACCAGUUGCCUUCCAUAUACUAAGCCCAAAGCCCUUGCCGUGUGGCCUGUAUGGCCUUUCAGAAUGAAACAAGAUGUACAUAUAUGUAGGGGCCUGGUCCACAUGGACUUGGGGCAGGGUGGCUGCUGCUGCUUUCUGGCCCAGCCUUGAUUUAGCUCCCCAAUGCAGUAUCCAGGCCACACUCCCCUCCUUGAGGGUGCCAUCCUUUUGCAGCUCCCCAAAUGCCCUCCACUUUGGCUCAGCUACCUGCCUUUGCCCACAGCCCCACGUUUGACUGGAAUGCCCACUCCUCCUGUCUCUUUGUGACUCUAGUGUGUCCUUCAGGACUCAUUAGAGACAGCCAGGACUCAGCCAGACUUAGUGAUCUCCCUUAACUCCCCUGCCCAGGCUGGAUGAGGGUCCCCUCUCGGCCAUCACCAACCCUCCACCAUUGCUGGGUAUCGCCCAGCAGGCUGCAUCGUAAUUGGCUAUGCUUUGCUCUUUCUGUCCCUUGAGACCCCGAGCUUUGGACUUUUCCUCUCCUCAACUACCAGGAGCCCAUUGUCACACUGGGCUCUUAAUGUGCUCUCUGCAUUCCUGUUCUUCCACACAUAUAUCCUGAGUGAUAUCUGCACCUUCUGUUGUUCUCCUGGAACAAAUGAGUACUAAACCUUGGGGUCUUUUUGAUGUUUACAAAUGAUUUGCACCCCUUUCCCAGUUUACCCUGCCAGCCGGGGGCAAACUCCACCUUCUCAUCCAGAAUUCUCAUCCACACUCUGGGAACCUGCCUCCCACCUCCAUCCAGACCCAGGAGAAGGCCCCACAUUUCCCCUGGGCCUCCCUCCUACUGCAGCUGUCACUUCCCUCCAAUGACCCUUCAGCACCUGGCUACUCUGCUGGCCACUCCUCUCUGUUGGGAGUGGGUGUGUGCUGUGAGAUCACUGUGGGUAUGGCUGGAUCCCCUCAAGGUCAGGAGCCCUUAUAGGGCAGAGAUCUGGUGCUGCUUAACUCGGAACCUCCCUCGCCCACACCUGCAUCUAGCACAGGCGGGGCAGGGCGCUGGCGGUUUCCGGAGAAACUUUCAGCACCAGAGCAGUGGACAGAGACCCUACUAACCCUUCCGCCAGGGGCAGCCAAGGCUUUCCAAGCGACCUUUCAACUUUUCAUUCCAGGCUCCCUUGCCCAGGUUGAGUAAGGCUGGGGCUCAAAGGGACACCUCCUCCUCCUCCUCUGCCAGCCUGGCAGCUCCACCUCGCCUUCCCCAGAACCUGGCCCUGCCCCACCUCCCAAACAGGCUACUCUAAUGGUUACGAGGCCUGGCCCCAGCUUUCACUGUAGGACAGUACUUUUGUGGCAAGCUACUUAGACCCUCUGUGCGUGGUAAACAAACAUGUGGCUAUGGGAUGGCAGCACAGGACCUAGUUCUAGGAGAGGCUUGGUGACUUCUUGAACAAAUAAACGAAGGAAUUAAGGCAGGACGCCUGUCUUACACAGUUUUGUCAGAUUUAUACAGUUUAACACAUACAGCUGUGUAGCGCAGCCCACGUUGGCUAACUGCGUGUUUCUUCCCUACAGUUUUUGGGAGGUCCUGGAGAGGAGGGAAGGGUAGGGUUACUGGUGAACUUCGGGAACGAUUUUUAUCAGACUGCAGGCCUAGAGAGGACAGGGGAGCGAGGUUCCAGGUCCUCUCCUUUCUGAGUUUUCCGAGGGCUAGGGGAGAACGCCUGCCGCAGCUGAGGAGUCGGCCUCCCCAGCGCGCCUGCCGUGUGUCGCCAGCCCCACGCAGGGCCGGGACACAAACUGGUUUGUGGAUCGAGGUUGGAGGCGGGCGAUGAAAGCUGAGGAGCCGAGGAAAGUCGGGGUGCAGGGCGGGUCCGGGAGCCCAGAACCAGCGCGGGCGGAGUCUGCGAAGCUAGGCACAGCAGCUUCGAGGUUCCUUCCCGAGUUACCCGAGGGACUCCAGGACUGGACCGGGCGUCCAGGCAGCCCCGCCGCCUUCCCCUUUAACCACCCACCCCGGUUUCUCCCUUCUUUUCCUCCGGCUGCUGCGUGGAUCGGGCCGGGACAGGGCGUGCCCUGCUCACCUCCGUGGGCUGCUCUGCGGGAAGGCGCCCCUAGUUCCUGAACCCCGCUUUGGAAGCAAUGCGUGUGUGUGAGAGUGUCGGGUGGGCUCUCCGGUCCGAGGGCGCCCCGGGUCUGAGCGUCAGCGCUGGAAGCCUUACCUGAGGCCUGGGAGGCCAUCGCCGCGGGCUGACCACCAACCGAGCGCAGCUCUGGCCUUGCGUCCAGCUGAGGCGCUGGCGCCCCCGACCGAUGCCCCCGACGCCUUCCCCCCGCAGGACUGCGCAGCCGCCGCUCGGGCUCCACGACCCAUCGAUUUUUCUGUUGACUUUGGGAAUCUCAUUAAUCCUUCGUUAAUUACCCCGUGGGGACUCGGCCCAGAGCAGCCAAUGGCGAGGUGGUUGCACAGGCGGGCGGGGCCGGAGGCGGUGCUAGCUCGGGUGCUGGUGCUGGAGGUGGCAGUGGUGGGGCUGGGGGACGCGUUCCUGAGUAGGUGGACAGGCCCUGAGCUGGCAGCCUGCCCUCGGGGUGGGUAGAUUGGGCGUGCAAUGUCCUGAGGCCCCGGGGGUUCAGGCUGCAUUUUCUUCUGGCAGCCAAGCUGGGACCUUCCAAGUCUUGGGUCGUCUUUCUCGGACCUUAUUACUAGGCUGGGGCGACCCAGAACCUAAUGUCUGUCCCUUGAGUCAAACAUGAACUUGGGGCUGAACAUGAACUUGCCAAGAUGGGAGGCAGUCAGCCCUCUCUGGCAGCCCUGUGCCCUCUGAUCUCCACAGACCUCAGGCCACUGACAGGGUCUAGACACCUUUCCUCUCAUAUUCUCUGGGUUUAAAAUGUUGCUAUGCCCAUCCUGUCCCCCCAGUGUGAUCGCACCCGCUGCAGUCCACAGCCUGGUCCUGGCUGAACCCUUCCUCCCACUUGUUGUAGCUUGGCAUGACUGAUGCCAUCUUGAGCCUGCAUGUAACUAGUGUCCUGUAUUUGACCCAGGAAAAUGGAAAAUUACUCAGAGUAUAAGUCCCAUGAGAAAAGCAGAAUGAGCUGCACCCACAAGAGAAAAAUUAACCUGCUUAACCAAAGAAGCAGGAUACAAGUGUCAACCAAAUAUUAAUAUAAGAUUCUAACUAAACUGUUUCCAACAGGAUGUCUUUUUGUGGUUCUCUGUUUUAAAACUCUGUAACUUUCCAGUUCAGGGUCACUCAGUGGGUGAGCCUCUGAAAUGGGUUCAUGCAAGUGAUUGCUGAGCUCAGCUAAUUGAAAUCCAAAUUUAUCAGUUUGGUUCCUAUAUUGCUUAUGAACCCCUUCACCACUGACCACCAGCUCUUUCCUGACUGGCUAUGAUGCUUCUGUCCCAGUCUCUUGUCUUCCCCCCUGCAGGUCCAUCUCUAUGCCUUUGGCAGAGGGGAAGCCCUGAGGUGCAGCUCUGCCGGGACCCCCACAGGGAUGGGUGGGUAUUGAGAGGACUAGGGGUUUAGGAUCUGAGUUCCCCAAACUGCGUUAGCGUCAUCCUGUAUCUGUAUGUCAUGGGUUCCCGAAAUUCCUGAAAUAUUUUUUGGUGGAAAAAAAUUCUGCCUCUUUAGUUAAUGCACAAAGAUGCAGCUGGACAGGAGGAAUGGUCUCACAAGAGGGCGGCUCUGGUGGACAGCAGUUACCUGGAUGUUUCAGCAUGGUCAAGGGAGGAUUUUGAAUGCUCCCAACACAAAGAAAUGAUGGGUGGAUAAGAUGAUAGAUACGUCAAUUACCCUAAUCUGAUCAUGACACAUUGUACCCAUGGACUGGAAUGCCACAAUGUACUCUGUAACAAUGUACAAACUACUAUGUGUCAAUUUUAAAACACAAUAUUAAAAAGCUCUGCUGCUUUUUUAAAA